rnacentral:rRNA from 1 species
GUGAGGAAUAUUGCGCAAUGGAGGCAACUCUGACGCAGCCAUGCCGCGUGCAGGAAGAAGGCGCUACGCGUUGUAAACUGCUUUUAACCGGGAAGAAACCCCAGGACGUGUCCUGGGUUGACGGUACCGGAGGAAUAAGCACCGGCUAACUUCGUGCCAGCAGCCGCGGUAAUACGAAGGGUGCAAGCGUUAUCCGGAUUCAUUGGGUUUAAAGGGUGCGUAGGCGGAGCGUUAAGUCAGUGGUGAAAUCCUGCAGCUUAACUGUAGACUUGCCAUUGAUACUGGCGCUCUUGAGUGCGCUUGAAGUGGGCGGAAUGUGCCGUGUAGCGGUGAAAUGCUUAGAUAUGGCACAGAACACCAAUUGCGAAGGCAGCUCACCAAGGCGAUACUGACGCUGAGGCACGAAAGCGUGGGGAUCGAACAGGAUUAGAAACCCGGGUAGUCC